rnacentral:rRNA from 1 species
ACUAAAUAGAUACCCCGGUAGUCCUGGCAGUAAACGGUGCGCGUUUGGUGUGGGGGAUUCGACAAUCUCCGCGCCGGAGCUAAACGCGUUAAAAACGCGCCGCCUGGGAAAUACGGUCGCAAGAUUAAAACUCAAAGAAAUUGACGGGGCCCGCACAAGCGGUGGAGUAUGUGGCUUAAUUCGAUGCAACGCGAAGAACCUUACCUGGGCUUGACAUGCAUCGCUAAGGCGGUGAAAGCCGCCGAGGGUAGCAAUACCUACUUUGCACAGGUGCUGCAUGGCUGUCGUCAGCUCGUGUCGUGAGAUGUUGGGUUAAGUCCCGCAACGAGCGCAACCCUUAUGAACUGUUGCAGCGACGCAAGUCGCGCUCUCUGUUCAGACCGCCCUGUGAAACGGGGAGGAAGGUGGGGAUGACGUCAAGUCAGCAUGGCCCUUACGCCCAGGGCUGCACACGUACUACAAUGCCCAGUACAGAGGGAGCCAAGCCGGCGACGGCAAGGAAAUCCCAAAAAAC